UACAGGGGGUGCAAACGUUGCUCGGAAUUAUUGGGCGUAAAGCGCGCGUAGGCGGCCACUUAAGUCGGAUGUGAAAGCCCUUGGCUCAACUGAGGAAGUGCACCCGAAACUGAAUGGCUUGAGUACUAAAGAGGGUCGCGGAAUUCCCGGUGUAGAGGUGAAAUUCGUAGAUAUCAGGAGGAACACCAAUUGCGAAGGCAGCUCGCUGGGACGUUACUGACGCUGAGACGCGAAAGCGUGGGGAGCAAACAGG
rnacentral:rRNA from 1 species